rnacentral:rRNA from 1 species
AUCGGGGUUGCGGACAGUGUCUGGUGGGUAGUUUGACUGGGGCGGUCUCCUCCCAAAGAGUAACGGAGGAGCACGAAGGUUAGCUAAUCCUGGUCGGACAUCAGGAGGUUAGUGCAAUGGCAUAAGCUAGCUUGACUGCGAGCGUGACGGCGCGAGCAGGUGCGAAAGCAGGUCAUAGUGAUCCGGUGGUUCUGAAUGGAAGGGCCAUCGCUCAACGGAUAAAAGGUACUCCGGGGAUAACAGGCUGAUACCGCCCAAGAGUUCAUAUCGACGGCGGUGUUUGGCACCUCGAUGUCGGCUCAUCACAUCCUGGGGCUGAAGUAGGUCCCAAGGGUAUGGCUGUUCGCCAUUUAAAGUGGUACGCGAGCUGGGUUUAGAACGUCGUGAGACAGUUCGGUCCCUAUCUGCCGUGGGCGCUGGAGAAUUGAGGGGGGCUGCUCCUAGUACGAGAGGACCGGAGUGGACGCAUCACUGGUGUUCGGGUUGUCAUGCCAAUGGCACUGCCCGGUAGCUAAAUGCGGAAGAGAUAAGUGCUGAAAGCAUCUAAGCACGAAACUUGCCCCGAGAUGAGUUCUCCCUGAGACUUUAAGUCUCCUGAAGGAACGUUGAAGACGACGACGUUGAUAGGCCGGGUGUGUAAGCGCAGCGAUGCGUUGAGCUAACCGGUACUAAUGAACCGUGAGGCUUAACCUUACAACGCCGAAG